rnacentral:rRNA from 1 species
AUUGAACGCUGGCGGCAGGCCUAACACAUGCAAGUCGAACGAGUGGCGGACGGGUGAGUAAUGUCUGGGAAACUGCCUGAUGGAGGGGGAUAACUACUGGAAACGGUAGAUAAUACCGCAUCCCAUCGGAUGUGCCCAGAUGGUAAUUGCUAUGAGGUGGGGUAAAGGCUCACCUGGGCGACGAUCCCUCGCUGGUCUGAGAGGAUGACCAGCCCCACUGGAACUGUGACACGGUCCAGACUCCUACGGGAGGCAGCAGUGGGGAAUAUUGCACAAUGGGCGCAAGCCUGAUGCAGCCAUGCCGCGUGUAUGAAGAAGGCCUUCGGGUUGUAAAGUACUUUCAGCGGGGAGGCGUUACCCGCAGAAGAAGCACCGGCUAACUCCGUGCCAGCAGCCGCGGUAAUUC